ACCCUCUCAGGGUCGCACCUGGAGAGUUUCCAGUACUCCACCAGUCUCGACUACGGGCGGGAGAGUCAAGCAGAGGUACAUCCAUUCCACUCCUCGCUCGGGCAGUGGCUAGCGAGUGGAAGGCAAUCUGCUACAAGC